CCUACGGGAGGCAGCAGUGGGGAAUAUUAACCAACGGUCGACAACAGUAUGCAGCCAUGCCGCGUGAAUGAUGAAGGUAUUAGGAUUGUAAAAAUAUUCCUUCGGGGCCGAUAAGGCAGGUACCGGGCGAAGAAGCCCCCGCUAACUACUAGCCAGCAGCCGCGGUAAU
rnacentral:rRNA from 1 species